rnacentral:rRNA from 1 species
UAAGACGAAGGUGGCAAGCGUUGUUCGGUGUUACUGGGCUUAUAGAGUGUGUAGGCGGAAUCGUAAGCGUCUUGUGAAAUCCCUGAGCUUAACUCAGGAAUUGCUUGGCGAACUGCUUUUCUUGAGGCAAGUAGGGGUGCAUGGAACUGUUGGCGGAGCGGUGGAAUGCGUAGAUAUCAACAGGAACGCCGGUGGUGAAAACGGUGCACUGGGCUUGACCUGACGCUGAGACACGAAAGCGUGGGGAGCGAACGAGAUUAGAUACCCCGGUAGUCCACGCCGUAAACGAUGUCUACUAGGUUGUGCAAGUUCUGACACUGGCACAGCCGAAGCAAAAGUGUUUAGUAGACCGCCUGGGGAGUACGGUCGCAAGGCUA